UUAUCAUUUCGUAUACCGUAAAGGUGGAUUUUCACAGAUCCGAUGUCCGACGGUACGAUGAUACGAUAGAAAUUUCAGAGAAUUUCAUUGGCUGAAAGGUGACAGUUGGGUUUUCGUACGAAAUUAAAAAGUCAUCGGAAGAAGUUAAAAUUAUUUUAACUUUUGCACGAAAUCGGAUGAAUUUUGACACUGUUGACAUUCUAACUUGAACGUCUUGAACUUGUGAAGUGUUUAUGUUUUUGAUAUAUUGAAAUGGAACAACAAAAUCAUAAUUUGACGAAUCCAUGAUGAUCCAAACAAUAAUAA
rnacentral:lncRNA from 1 species